rnacentral:rRNA from 1 species
GACGAACGCUGGCGGCGUGCUUAACACAUGCAAGUCGAACGGCAGCAUGGAGAGCUUGCUCUCUGAUGGCGAGUGGCGAACGGGUGAGUAAAGCAUCGGAACGUACCGUGUAGUGGGGGAUAACGUAGCGAAAGUUACGCUAAUACCGCAUACGCACUGAGGUGGAAAGCAGGGGAUCGCAAGACCUUGCGCUAUACGAGCGGCCGAUGUCAGAUUAGCUAGUUGGUAGGGUAAAGGCCUACCAAGGCGACGAUCUGUAGCGGGUCUGAGAGGAUGAUCCGCCACACUGGGACUGAGACACGGCCCAGACUCCUACGGGAGGCAGCAGUGGGGAAUUUUGGACAAUGGGGGCAACCCUGAUCCAGCCAUGCCGCGUGAGUGAAGAAGGCCUUCGGGUUGUAAAGCUCUUUCGGCCGGGAAGAAAUCGCACAGGCUAAUACUCUGUGUGGAUGACGGUACCGGCAUAAGAAGCACCGGCUAACUACGUGCCAGCCGCCGCGGUAA